AUUGAACGCUGGCGGCAGGCCUAACACAUGCAAGUCGAGCGAGCGGCGGACGGGUGAGUAAUGUAUGGGGAUCUGCCCGAUAGAGGGGGAUAACUACUGGAAACGGUAGCUAAUACCGCAUACCAUCAGAUGAACCCAGAUGGGAUUAGCUAGUUGGUGGGGUAACGGCUCACCAAGGCGACGAUCCCUAGCUGGUCUGAGAGGAUGAUCAGCCACACUGGAACUGAGACACGGUCCAGACUCCUACGGGAGGCAGCAGUGGGGAAUAUUGCACAAUGGGCGCAAGCCUGAUGCAGCCAUGCCGCGUGUAUGAAGAAGGCCCUAGGGUUGUAAAGUACUUUCAGUGGGGAGGCGUUACCCGCAGAAGAAGCACCGGCUAACUCCGUGCCAGCAGCCGCGGUAAUUC
rnacentral:rRNA from 1 species